CUAAUUAUAUUUCAACAGCCACCUGCACCCCCCCCCAAAACAAAACACCACCAUCAUCUCCAGGUACCCGAGCUCCCAACCUAGCCCUCGCCCUUCGUCACCUCCUCCGCCUCCCUCGCGCGCGACCCGAGCCCAGGCGUGACCGUCGCCAUCGUCAGCUCGAUCUCCGCCUCCCUCGCGCGCGACCCUGAAGCCAGGUGACCCCAAUGGCAGAGUUGAUCCCAACCUAGCCGUCGCCAUCUUCGUCUGAUCCAUCUCUGCCUCCCUCGCGCGCGACCCUGAAGCCAGGUGACCCCGAAGCAAGACUUGAUCCCAACCCAGCCCUCGCCAUCAUCGUCAGCUCCAUCUCCGCCUCCCUCGCGCGCGACCCCGAAGCCAGACAGGUUCCGGGAAGACACUGACAUAUCUUUUGUUGAUAUUUUCCGUUAUAAACACUCAAAGAUCAGUUGUUCAAGCACUCAUUGUGGUGCCCACCAGGGAACUUGGCAUACAAGUCACCAUAGUUGCUCGGACUCUGGUUGCAAAGCCUAUGGAAAGUGAUAUGGAGCUGAAAUCCUGUACUGUCAUGGCUCUUUUAGAUGGUGGAUCAUUGAAAAGACACAAGACUUGGCUAAAGAUAUUAGACAGAGGCCAGGGAAGGCAAUUGUCAUCCCUCUCUGCGAAGAAGAUAGUGAUGGUGAGGAGGAUCGUUGUACUGGUGGGCAUUAGAAGCAGCAAUCAGUGACAGGGAAGGUCCUCAAGCAAACAAAGGGAAAAUCAAGCAAACAAAGGGAAAAGCUUACAGUGUAGGUAUAGGAAGAACUGGAGCAUACGGUGUAAUUCAAACAAACUCACAUAUACCUCUUUCGGAAACCAAAAGGGAAUUGGAACUGGGAAAAGAUCAGUCACUAUCAACAUCGGUCACUAUCCACAUCGGUCACUAUCCACAUGCAGUAACAUAUACUUUUGAUGUAGUGUAGAUUUGUAUAUGUGAUUAGUUUGUAUAAUAUAUUAUAUUUUGUAUUGUAAACACUUAAAUUGUAUAUAAUAUAGCUCAUUAAUUUUAUAAAAA